CUCUCUCUCUCUCUCUCUCUCUCUCUCUCUCUCUCUCUCAGCUUUGGAUUAGUAACCCCGUUGACAGAAGUGACACCCGCGUUUUCUCUUCUCAGAUGUAAACAAAGCGGUAGAUUCCUUCCAGCUGGUGAUAAAACUUCCUCUCGCUCUCCCUCACUCUCCCACGUCACGGAAGUAGUGAUAUAAAGCACACGAGGAGGAAAGCAAUGGCAACCCUCCGAUCUGGCAAGCAGGUUGGCGGCAGCAAUGGCGGUGGCAGCGGCAGCAGUGGUGAGGUGGACGGCAGGGACAGAGGGGCAGUACAGGCUGCGGACAUCAAAGAGAAGAGGAACGCGCGGACAAGCAAGGUGGUAUUCGGUAGUCUGAUCCUGGACCUGCUCGGCUUCACGGUGGUGGUGCCUCUGUCUCCUGCUCUCCUCGACUGUUACUCCAAGCACGACUCCAGCGGCUUGUAUUCCUCUCUGCUCUCCUGUGUUACUUAUUACCAGCAUAUCAUCAGCGUUCCUGCGAGGUUCCACUCUGUCUUGUUUUGGUGGCACUGAUUGGCGUGACAUUCAGCAUAGGCUUCACCGUCGGGCACACUGUGGGGGCUGCGUUCUCCCGCUGGGGAAGUACUGGGUGGUUCACGGCCUCGGCUGUCUACGCACGCACUCUCACUGUGGCUAACAUAAUAUUCUUUGCUGUCUUCUUCCAGGAAUCGCUGCCUGAGGGCAGAAGGAGGAGGGACAUCGGUGCCAGUUUGACCGAGGCUUGGGAGGUGAUCAAUCCUAGGGCUCUGUUCUCCGUCAGCUGUGUCAAGGGCCUGGGCAGAGAAGCCUGGAGUUAACGCUGAUCUUCGCGACCCACCACAAGCAUAGUUACGACUCGUUGGCGCAGGACCACAAGUUUUCCUUCCUGCGCCUGGUCAUGGCAAUUACACAGAGAGGGUUUAUGCGAAGUGUUAAGACUGGAACUGAAAAAGCAACUGCCAAUUAGUGGUUAAUGACGAUGACUCCUGCUUUCAUCCUCAUCAGGGCUAGCAAGACCAACCUGGGGCUGUACUCUGGACUGACGCUGUAUGCCAUAGGUUCCUCUAUGAUGGUGCCCUGCCUCACUGCCCUCGCCUCCUGUCACGGCACGGCCUCUCACAAGGGUACCCUGUUUGGCAUUCGGAGGUCACCAGGGGCUCUUCCAAGGGCGUUCGGACCUGUUGUGACAUCAAUAGCUGGCGUUCGUGGAGUGUGACGUUCCCGUGGUGCCUGCUCUGGUGCGCUGGUUGUGUGGACAGGCGGUCAUCUUCUUCGUCCUCUUCGCAGAUUUCUACGCGAAGGCCUACCGCAGCAAGGAUAGGACCAAGGUCAAUGAAAAAUCUAAUGGGUUCGCUAAAGUGUCGCAAGGCAAUGGAUGUGAUGCUGGAGAGAAGGAAGAAGUUGCAGUAGCCAGUCAUAAAUCGCUUGCUGCUCCCUUCACCUGCGUGCCCUCAGGUUUUCAAGAUGUCAUUACGGAAAGGAAACAUGCUUACAAUUAGGACUUCUAUCCUGUCUCCUGCCCAGCAUCAAUCACGUCCCGGGAGAAACUUCACACUACCGGGCAGCCUCUGCCAUUCACCUAAGCAUGUUCUGGAUCAAGGGAACCAGUCCUUAGACGCAUAAUACUCGCCAAUAGGAAUCAUCAAUGGGGAAUGAUUUGAGUAACUCAUUAUAACUCAAGCGACCGGAUCCUGGCACCAGCCGCAUUAAUGCAUGGGAUACGCUGCUCUGGAAUGUCGACUUGUAAAUGUUCCUGCAAAUGUUUUGGAGAGGUAGUGUUAAGACUUUCAUA